GAAGGAUCAUUACCGAGUUAGGGUCUCUUUUUAGGGCCCGAACCUCCCAACCCUGUGUCUAUUGUUACCUCUAGUUGCUUCGGCGGGCCGGCCGUCUUGACCAACUGGUCUCGCUGGCCGCCGGUCGUGGGUUUCCACGAUUGGAGAGCUCGCCCGCCGAUGGCCCAACACAAAACUCUGGUACUAAACACUGUCGUCUAAAUACCUUGAUAUUAAUCAAAAACAAAACUUUCAACAACGGAUCUCUUGGUUCUGGCAUCGAUGAAGAACGCAGCGAAAUGCGAUAAGUAAUGCGAAUUGCAGAAUUUCCGUGAGUCAUCGAAUCUUUGAACGCACAUUGCGCCCACUGGUAUUCCGGUGGGCAUGCCUGUUCGAGCGUCAUUAUCCUCCCUCAAACCUCUGUGUUUGGUGUUGGGCCGCGUUGGCGUCACAGCCAACUGGUCUCAAAGACAAUGACGGCGUCCGUGGGACCCUCUUCGCAACGAGCAUCUUCGGAAGCACGCGUCGAGUCUAAAGGACCUUCCGGGCCGGUCUACCCUUUAUCUUUCUAAGGUUGACCUCGGAUCAGGUAGGAAUACCCGCUGAACUUAA
rnacentral:rRNA from 1 species